CCUGAACGCUGGCGGCGUGGCUAAGACAUGCAAGUCGCACGGGGUAGCAAUACCCAGUGGCGAACGGGUGAGUAAUGAAUCGCUAAUGUACCCUGGACUCUGGGAUAGCCGGUCGAAAGGCCGGGUAAUACCAGAUGAGACCACGAACAGGCAUCUGUUUGUGCUCAAAGGUCCGCCGGUCUGGGAGCAGGCGAUUUCGUAUCAGCUAGUUGGUGAGGUAACGGCUCACCAAGGCGACGACGCGUAGCCGGACUGAGAGGUUGGCCGGCCACAUCGGGACUGAGACACUG
rnacentral:rRNA from 1 species